rnacentral:lncRNA from 1 species
GGCACACACCACCGGCUCGCUCAGCCCAGAAGCGGAAAGUAUACCUGCCGCGCGCGGGGCCCCGCUUGCUGCCCUCCGGCCAGCUCCAUCCGCUUGUGCCCGGGGACGCUCGGUCACUCCGCUGUCGCCUCUGGCCAGCGGCGCACCGUCUAGGCAAGCCACCUGCCGCCUAGGGCACCGAUCGUCUCCUGCAGCGUGCGGAGCCACCGAGGUGAGUGUCCCCGUGCCCCUUCCUUGCCUCCCGUUGCUGCCCGGCUGCCCUGGCUGGAGUUGACUGGAGAAGCGAGGCGACCACAGGGAGGCCAGCCUGCGGCCGCUUUCCUUUUCAAAGAGUGGCCGGACGGCCCGGUAGGCCCCUCUGGCGGUCGCCGCCUUCCGCUGCCCCCCGCCCGGUGCGGGCCCGGAACUUGGCGUUUUAGGACUCCCGGUCCGGCGGGGUCGCGGGCGGGGCAGCGCGGCUUCCCCUUUAAGGCCGGAGCCGCUCGUCGCCUUGAGUGUGAGGGUGUGUGAGUGUGCGGCGUGCGUGUCUCCUCCUCCCCGAGUGACACAGCAGUGAGAAAUGCCUAUCAGUAACUUAAACCCCCGAAACUCCACCUUCCGGGCGCGCGGCGCGGAGCCGGGCGGUGGGAAUGGAGCGAGCAGACUGAGGCCGCCGCUGCAGCGCCGCCGGCAUGAACUUGGCCGCGAGCUGAAGCGGCUGGCGGCGGGCGGGCUCGGGGGGCACCGGCCGCUACCCGGGGGAGAUCUGCCACCCAGCCGGGCCGCUCGGCAGGCGCCGGAGGCCAGGUUGCCCGCGCUGGCGGCAGCCUGCCCCUUGGGCACUGCCCCCGCCGCCGCCGCCGCCGCGGGAGCUCCGCAGCACGCCCUGUGUCUAGGUCGUUUGGGAAGCGCCUGGGAGAGUCAAGAAUAAAAUUGCAGGUCAAACAAUGGAUGACUGGAAAAGUCGACCUGUAGUCAAGAGCAUGCUUCCCCAUUUCGCCGUGGUGGGAAAUCGUCAGGAGCCCAGAAAGCUCCAAGAAUCGGCACAGGGAACCACUAAGCGGAGACAGGAAGGAGAAGAUUUCCAGCUUUCAGGCAUGGGCGACGAAGGUUACCCUAAUCAAAUCAAGAGACCAUGCCUUGAGGAUGUCACCCUUUCAAUGGGCCCGGGUGCCCAUCCCAGCACAGCCUGUGCACAGCUGCAAGUUCCUGCGUUACCCAUGAACCCUAGUUCUGCAGCAAUGGCAGCCCCUGGCCAUCCGUUACUACUGGACAAUAGCCCCAGGAAUGGCAGCGUCAUGGGCCCACCAUUUGCAGGGCCAUCAACAGCAGAAAUGGGAGUGAAAGGCCCCUCUAUUCCUUACUAUGACAAAACCAACAGCGCACCGGCUGUGGAUCAGGAACUUCAAGAUCUGCUGGAGGAGCUCACAGAAAUUCAAGAAUCUUCUCAGAGUGAGCUCGAUCUUGAGAAAAUCCUGGGGACCAAGCCGGAAGAACCGCUGGUCUUACACCACCACCCACCGGCAACCUUAGGUGCGACGGCCAAGCCCACGGUUCAGAUGCCACGCUUGGAGAGCCUCAGUUCCGGCAAGGACUUUGCUUCCAGUUGCAGCCAGGUCACUGGGGUGUCGCUUCAGAUCCCACCCUCCUCUGCGGGGCUCAGCUAUGCAAUUACGCCUGCCAGUAAGCAGAUGGCCUCCCCAAGUUCCUCGACUGUGCAGGCCAAGAAUCAGGCCCAGGUGACACUCUCAGCUGCCCUACCGCCACUCCCAGUGUCUCAGUGGCAUCAUGCCCACCAGCUGAAAGCGCUGGCGGCCAGCAAGCAGGGCUCCAGUAAGAAGCAGCUGGGCCCCACCACCAGUUGGUCUGCCCUGCCUCCUUCUGGCCUCUCCCCACCUUACCAGCCAGCGCCCGUGGUCUCACCACAGCCGCUGUCGCCCUUCAGCCCUCAGGGGCUCAUGGUGUCCUGUAUGUCAUCAAACAGCCUGCCGGGGAGCACCCUCCAGGGCUCUCCCAAUGCCUUACUGUCCAGCCUGGCGCCCAGCAGCAGCACUGUCCUUGGGCCGGCCAGGCCCUACGUGCCGGAGAAGUUCCCUAGCCCCACGCUCCAGCAGCCACCACCAUUUAGCGCGCAGACCUCCAUCCUUGCCAACCUGAUGUCCUCUACCAUCAAACACCCUCAGGGGCACCUGAUGUCUGCUCUGCCCACCAGCAACACGGGGCCCUUAACCCCCUAUCACCCAGAGACACUGUCUAGCCCAGGCCUGCCCCAGCAGUCCUUCACUGCACAGUGCCCCCUGAUUCAGGGCCUCACCACCUCCACUCAUCCACUCUGCCAGCCGCAGCCACCAGCCAGUGCUAUCUACAAGCCCAAAACCCUGAACAUGAUCAUGCAGCAGGGCCUGACCAGCCCCAGCCCGGGAGCCUCAGAGCCCUUUCCUUUCGGCAACACCAAGCCCUUGUCACAUUUCAUCUCUGAGCCAGGCCCCCAGAAGAUGCCGUCAGUGCCCACCACAUCUCGGCAGCCUGCCUUGCUGCACUACCUGCAGCAGCCCACACCACCACCGGCCUCUUCUGCCACGGCCUCAUCCACGGCCACCUUGCAGCUGCAGCAGCAGCCGGAUCUUUCUUCAUUCCUCCUGCAGCAUGUGACACAGCAACCACAGCGCUUUCAGCGGUCUCUGGCCUCGGGGGAUUCCAUGCCUUCUCUGCCCAGACAGACUCAUGUAGACAAAGCCUGCAAGCUUGGGGAAGCCAGGCCCCCCCAGGUCAGCCUCGGGCGACAGCCCCCGUCCUGCCAGGCCCUGGGGAGUGAGUCCUUCCUGCCCAGCAGCUCCUUUGCUCAUGAGCUGGCCCGAGUCACCUCCUCGUACAGCACCUCAGAGGCAGCGCCCUGGGGCGGCUGGGAUCCGAAGGCCUGGAGGCAGGUGCCCGCUCCACUACUGCCUAGCUGCGACGCUGUUGGUAAGUCACUCCCCUCCCAGCCUCGCUUUCCUCAUCUGUCAACUGGGCACAGUCCCCUGCUCAGCCUGCCCACCUGCUUCACAGUGUUGUUGGAGGAACAGAGGAGGUGA